rnacentral:lncRNA from 1 species
UUUAAUCCUUUCUAACAUAUCACUGCCAUGUUGGCACAUUGUAUGCCUAAAAAAGAGUAUUGGGACUUAAUUGAUUAAGUCUCAGUUAUUAAUAGAUGGGAUUUGGAAUUACAGUGGUGUAGCUUUAAACUCAGGGCUGCAAUCUCUGAGAGGUGGCCAAGCCCUCAUCAUGCAAAGACUGUGAGGAUCUGGGUGGCAUAUUUAAUAUUAGGAUUUCUCUCUUCUCCUUAGACUCUAGCAACUAGAUGCUUCUACUUGGACAUCUCUGUCAUCUGAGAACUUUCUCAAGGGAGAAAAGUAGACAUGGUAAUCUACUACCAAAUCCCAUUGUAUCUUCCUGAGAUCGAUCUCUUGGAUUCUCCACUUGCUUCCCAUUACCAAGACCAUAUCCAGAAUCUUCUUACUUUGUAGGACAUACUACAUUCAUCCUGCAUAGGAUAAGAAUCAACAUUUUAAAAUGCAAAUGUCGCCAUUCUGUCUUUUUCAAGAAUAUAUUACUGUUCUAUAGCAUGGAUAAAACAUUCCCCAGUAAACCCCAGUGAGCUCUUUUUUACCAUGUAGAGAAAGGUAAAGUGUCUCUAUUUCUUCCAUUCACAUUUACUCUCUUUGCUUAAAAAUUACCUAGAGGAAAAUGAAUUCAUUUAACCAUUUGAAGCCAGAAGUCCCUGUGUUAUACCCAAUUCUAUAAUAUUACAAUGUGCAUGGUAGGGAGGACACAGAUGUUGGAGUGAAAUAUAUAUAUCUUGGCUCAAAUGUUGGCUUUGUCACUUACUGUGUGAGCAUGAACAAGUUUCUAAGUCACUUUAAUAUUCAGUUUGUCCUUUAUUUUUAUUUUUAUUAGAUGGGGGGGGGGGGAAUGGACAGAAAGAGAGAGAGAGAGAGAGAGAGAGAGAGAGAGAGAGAGAGAAUCCCAAGCAGCCUCCAUGCCCAACAUGGGGUUUGAUCCCACAACCCUGGGAUUACGACCU